ACGAACGCUGGCGGCGUGCCUAAUACAUGCCAGUUGAGCGAUGAAGAUUGGUGCUUGCCCCAAUUUGAAGAGCAGCGAACGGGUGAGUAACGCGUGGGGAAUCUGCCUUUGAGCGGGGGACAACAUUUGGAAACGAAUGCUAAUACCGCAUAACAACUUUAAACAUAAGUUUUAAGUUUGAAAGAUGCAAUUGCAUCACUCAAAGAUGAUCCCGCGUUGUAUUAGCUAGUUGGUGAGGUAAAGGCUCACCAAGGCGAUGAUACAUAGCCGACCUGAGAGGGUGAUCGGCCACAUUGGGACUGAGACACGGCCCAAACUCCUACGGGAGGCAGCAGUAGGGAAUCUUCGGCAAUGGACGAAAGUCUGACCGAGCAACGCCGCGUGAGUGAAGAAGGUUUUCGGAUCGUAAAACUCUGUUGGUAGAGAAGAACGUUGGUGAGAGUGGAAAGCUCAUCAAGUGACGGUAACUACCCAGAAAGGGACGGCUAACUACGUG
rnacentral:rRNA from 1 species